rnacentral:rRNA from 1 species
AUUGAACGCUGGCGGCAGGCCUAACACAUGCAAGUCGAGCGGUAGAGAGAAGCUUGCUUCUCUUGAGAGCGGCGGACGGGUGAGUAAUGCCUAGGAAUCUGCCUGGUAGUGGGGGAUAACGUUCGGAAACGGACGCUAAUACCGCAUACGUCCUACGGGAGAAAGCGGGGGAUCUUCGGACCUCGCGCCAUUAGAUGAGCCUAGGUCGGAUUAGCUAGUUGGUGAGGUAAUGGCUCACCAAGGCGACGAUCCGUAACUGGUCUGAGAGGAUGAUCAGUCACACUGGAACUGAGACACGGUCCAGACUCCUACGGGAGGCAGCAGUGGGGGAAUUUUUGGACAAUGGACGCAAGUCUGAUCCAGCCAUUCCGCGUGCAGGAUGAAGGCCCUCGGGUUGUAAACUGCUUUUGUACGGAACGAAAGGUUUCUAUUAAUACUAGGAGCUCAUGACGGUACCGUAAGAAUAAGCACCGGCUAACUACGUAGCCAGCAGCC